ACCAGCGUGGUGUAGUGGUUUGAGCAUUGGACUGUGACUCUGGAGACCAGGGUUCAAUUCCCCACUCAGCCA